GGCCGCCUGGCGUAAUGGCAACGCGUCUGACUACGAAUCAAGAUUGCAGGUUCGACCCCUGCGGUGGUCA
rnacentral:tRNA from 1 species